rnacentral:rRNA from 1 species
CCUACGGGAGGCAGCAGUGGGGAAUAUUGGACAAUGGGGGGAACCCUGAUCCAGCCAUGCCGCGUGUGUGAAGAAGGCCCUCGGGUUGUAAAGCACUUUCAGUGAGGAAGAACGCCUGGUGGUUAAUACCCAUCAGGAAAGACAUCACUCACAGAAGAAGCACCGGCUAACUCCGUGCCAGCAGCCGCGGUAAUACGGAGGGUGCGAGCGUUAAUCGGAAUUACUGGGCGUAAAGCGCGCGUAGGUGGCUUGAUAAGCCGGUUGUGAAAGCCCCGGGCUCAACCUGGGAACGGCAUCCGGAACUGUCAAGCUAGAGUGCAGGAGAGGAAGGUAGAAUUCCCGGUGUAGCGGUGAAAUGCGUAGAGAUCGGGAGGAAUACCAGUGGCGAAGGCGGCCUUCUGGACUGACACUGACACUGAGGUGUGAAAGCGUGGGUAGCAAACAGGAUUAGAUACCCGAGUAGUC